rnacentral:rRNA from 1 species
GAUGAACGCUGGCGGCGUGCCUAAUACAUGCAAGUCGAGCGAUUGGAUUAAGAGCUUGCUCUUAUGAAGUUAGCGGCGGACGGGUGAGUAACACGUGGGUAACCUGCCCAUAAGACUGGGAUAACUCCGGGAAACCGGGGCUAAUACCGGAUAACAUUUUGAACCGCAUGGUUCGAAAUUGAAAGGCGGCUUCGGCUGUCACUUAUGGAUGGACCCGCGUCGCAUUAGCUAGUUGGUGAGGUAACGGCUCACCAAGGCAACGAUGCGUAGCCGACCUGAGAGGGUGAUCGGCCACAGUGGGACUGAGACACGGCCCAGACUCCUACGGGAGGCAGCAGUAGGGAAUCUUCCGCAAUGGACGAAAGUCUGACGGAGCAACGCCGCGUGAGUGAUGAAGGCUUUCGGGUCGUAAAACUCUGUUGUUAGGGAAGAACAAGUGCUAGUUGAAUAAGCUAGCACCUUGACGGUACCUAACCAGAAAGCCACGGCUAACUACGUGCCAGCAGCCGCCGUAA